UUUUGCCUUCAAUAAAGAGCUAAGCUGUGACUCCUGCCUUAAAAUUCUGUCAAAAUUGUGAAUGCUGGUUUUGAAUUACUUUGCUACCUGAAGAUUGUUGUCAAAGUGACUGUUUCUUCUAAGGAAAGGAGCAUCCAUGGCUUCAAGUUUUACUCUGCAUCCAGGAAGAUGAAAACUUUUUUUAAAAGAAAGUUGAACUAUCGUGUGAUUGAAGAGGAAGCUAAAAAAAAAACCCCA
rnacentral:lncRNA from 1 species